UGCCCAACAACUCCUAUCCCUACCUCCUCACGGUACCGGCCGGAAACUAUGAACAACCUUAGGGAAGAUUGGGUAACCAACACCCGUGGGAACUUUGGUCGUAGGCUGACAGGGAAGG
rnacentral:ribozyme from 1 species